rnacentral:rRNA from 1 species
ACGAACGCUGGCGGCAUGCCUAACACCUGCAAGUCGAACGCGACCUUCGGGUCUAGUGGUGCACGGGUGCGUAACGCGUGGGAACCUGCCCUUAGGUUCGGAAUAACUCCCCGCAAGGGGUGCUAAUACCGGAUAAUGUCUUCGGACCAAAGAUUUAUCGCCUUUGGAUGGUCCCGCGUUGGAUUAGCUAGUUGGUAGGGUAAAAGCCUACCAAGGCGACGAUCCAUAGCUGGUCUGAGAGGAUGAUCAGCCACACUGGGACUGAGACACGGCCCAGACUCCUACGGGAGGCAGCAGUGGGGAAUAUUGAACAAUGAGCGAAAGCCUAAUCCAGCAAUGCCGCGUGAGUGAUGAAGGCGUUAGGGUUGUAAAGCUCUUUUAACCGGGAUGAUAAUGACAGUACCGGGAGAAUAAGCGCCGGCUAACUACGUG